rnacentral:misc_RNA from 1 species
AAGUCGUAACAAGGUUUCCGUAGGUGAACCUGCGGAAGGAUCAUCGUUGUUUUUUAAUACCCUGUGGGUUUUUUUUCAGAUCCCAACCAAAAGGAGAGGCGUUGACUGAGGUUGUUUGGAGAGGGAAAAAGGACAAAACUUUCAACAACGGAUCUCUUGGCUCUCA